AUUCAUGGCUCAAAUUGAACGCUGGGGGCAGGCUUAACACAUGCAAGUCGAGGGGUAACAGGAAUUAGCUUGCUAAUUUGCUGACGAGGGGGGGACGGGUGAGUAACGGGUAGGAAUCUGCCUAGUAGUGGGGGACAACAUGUGGAAACGCAUGCUAAUACCGCAUACGCCCUACGGGGGAAAGGAGGGGAUCUUCGGACCUUUCGCUUUUAAAUGAGCCUGGGUGAAAUUAGCUAGUUGGUGGGGUAAAGGCUCACCAAGGGGACGAUCUCUAGCUGGUCUGAAAGGAUGAUCAGCCACACUGGGACUGAAACACGGCCCAAACUCCUACGGGAGGCAGCAGUGGGGAAUUUUGGACAAUGGGGGCAACCCUGAUCCAGCCAUGCCGGGUGUGUGAAAAAGGCCUUAGGGUUGUAAAGCACUUUCAAAGGUGAGGAAGGUUUUGGGGUUAAUACCCGUUUAAUUUGACGUUAGCCUCAGAAAAAGCACCGGCUAACUCUGUGCCAGCAGCCGGGGUAAUACAAAGGGUGGGAGGGUUAAUCGGAAUUACUGGGGGUAAAGGGCGGGUAGGGGGUUUGUUAAGUCGGAUGUGAAAUCCCAGGGCUCAACCUUGGAAUGGCACCCGAUACUGGCAGGCUAAAGUACGGUAAAGGGGUGUGGAAUUUCCUGUGUAGGGGUGAAAUGGGUAGAUUUAGGAAGGAACAUCAGUGGGGAAGGGGACACCCUGGACCGAUACUGACGCUGAGGUGGGAAAGGGUGGGGAGCAAACAGGAUUAAAUACCCUGGUAGUCCACGCCGUAAACGAUGUCUACUAGCCGUUGGGGAUUUAUUUCUUUAGUGGGGCAGCUAACGGGAUAAGUAAACCGCCUGGGGAGUACGGCCGCAAGGUUAAAACUCAAAUGAAUUGACGGGGGCCCGCACAAGGGGUGGAGCAUGUGGUUUAAUUCGAAGCAACGGGAAAAACCUUACCUACUCUUGACAUCCAGUGAACUUUGGAAAGAUUUUUUGGUGCCUUCGGGAACACUGAAACAGGUGCUGCAUGGCUGUCGUCAGCUCGUGUUGUGAAAUGUUGGGUUAAGUCCCGUAACGAGGGCAACCCUUUUCCUUUUUUGCCAGCACUUCGGGUGGGAACUCUAAGGAAACUGCCGGUGACAAACCGGAGGAAGGUGGGGACGACGUCAAGUCAUCAUGGCCCUUACGAGUAGGGCUACACACGUGCUACAAUGGGGUUUACAAAGGGCAGGGAAACCGGGAGGUGGAGCAAAUCCCAAAAAGUACGUCGUAGUCCGGAUUGGAGUCUGCAACUCGACUCCAUGAAGUCGGAAUCGCUAGUAAUCGUGAAUCAAAAUGUCACGGUGAAUACGUUCCCGGGCCUUGUACACACCGCCCGUCACACCAUGGGAGUUGAUUGCUCCAAAAGUAGCUAGCUUAACCUUCGGGAUGGGGGUUACCACGGAGUGAUCAAUGACUGGGGUGAAGUCGUAACAAGGUAGCCCUAGGGGAACCU
rnacentral:rRNA from 1 species